UCCACCCCUUAGCCGAGGACCGCGACGCGUACUACCGGUACACGGGCGGCGACACGGUCGUGACGCUCCGCGUGCCGACGGGCGGGGGAGGGGU
rnacentral:tRNA from 1 species